rnacentral:rRNA from 1 species
UUCGGGACGCCGGCGAGUGGCGAACGGGUGAGUAACACGUGGAGACCUGCCCUGGGGUGGGGGAUAACAGCUAGAAAUGGCUGCUAAUACCGCAUACGCCUUACGAGGGAAAGAUUUAUUGCCCCAGGAGGGUUCCGCGUCGGAUUAGCUUGUUGGUGGGGUAACGGCCUACCAAGGCGACGAUCCGUAGCUGGUCUUAGAGGAUGAUCAGCCACACUGGGACUGAGACACGGCCCAGACUCCUACGGGAGGCAGCAGUGGGGAAUAUUGCGCAAUGGGGGAAACCCUGACGCAGCGAUGCCGCGUGGGUGAAUAAGGCCUUAGGGUUGUAAAGCCCUUUCAGUGGGGACGAUGAUGACGGUACCCACAGAAGAAGCCCCGGCUAACUCCGUGCCAGCAGCCGCGGUAAUACGGAGGGGGCGAGCGUUGU